rnacentral:rRNA from 1 species
UACGGAGGGGACUAGCGUUGUUCGGAAUUACUGGGCGUAAAGCGCACGUAGGCGGAUUUGUAAGUCAGGGGUGAAAUCCCGGGGCUCAACCCCGGAACUGCCUUUGAUACUGCGAAUCUCGAGUCCGGAAGAGGUGAGUGGAAUUCCUAGUGUAGAGGUGAAAUUCGUAGAUAUUAGGAAGAACACCAGUGGCGAAGGCGGCUCACUGGUCCGGUACUGACGCUGAGGUGCGAAAGCGUGGGGAGCAAACAGGG